AAUUAAAGGAUAUAGAAUUGAAACACAAUGAGCUUAAGGAGGAGAUGGUACAAUAUGCAGAUAAUGAUCCAGCUGCAUUUGAAGCAAUGAAGAAAGCUAUUGAGGUUGCCCAUGGAGCAGCUAACAGAUGGACAGACAACAUCUUCACUGUGAGACAGUGGUGCUCAAACAACUUUCCUGAAGCCAAAGAGCAGCUUGAACACAUGUACAAGGAGAUUGGAAUCACCGAUGAUUUCGAUUACGUGUAGUUGUUGCCUCCGGCCAUUCCACUCCGGGCAGUCGGCGAUGGAGAAGGCAAUCCUUAGGUGAGAUCAUGUCUCUUUUCAGUAAACACACUGUAUGCAAAUAUCAUCUCUCAGUUGUUUAAUUCUAGGCCAAGGGACAAGGUGAACAUAGGUUCAUCUAGUACUUU